CAGUAGCCACGGUAAUACGUAGGUGGCAAGCGUUGUCCGGAAUUAUUGGGCGUAAAGCGCGCGCAGGUGGUUUAAUAAGUCUGAUGUGAAAGCCCACGGCUCAACCGUGGAGGGUCAUUGGAAACUGUUAAACUUGAGUGCAGGAGAGAAAAGUGGAAUUCCUAGUGUAGCGGUGAAAUGCGUAGAGAUUAGGAGGAACACCAGUGGCGAAGGCGGCUUUUUGGCCUGUAACUGACACUGAGGCGCGAAAGCGUGGGGAGCAAACAGGAUUAGAUACCCCCGUAGUCCCUGUCUCUUAUAC
rnacentral:rRNA from 1 species